rnacentral:rRNA from 1 species
AGAAUCAACGCUGGCGGCGUGCCUAACACAUGCAAGUCGAACGAGAAAGUGGAGCAAUCCAUGAGUAAAGUGGCGCACGGGUGAGUAACACGUGACUAACCUACCCUUGAGUGGGGAUAACUGAGGGAACCUUAGCUAAUACCGCAUAAUACCCACGGGUCAAAGGAGCAAUUCGCUCGAGGAGGGGUCGCGGCCGAUUAGUUAGUUGGCGGGGUAAUGGCCCACCAAGACGAUGAUCGGUA